UACGUAGGGUGCAAGCGUUGUCCGGAAUUAUUGGGCGUAAAGAGCUCGUAGGCGGUGUGUCGCGUCUGCCGUGAAAACCUGCGGCUUAACCGUGGGCGUGCGGUGGAUACGAGCAUCACUUGAGUUCGGCAGGGGAGACUGGAAUUCCUGGUGUAGCGGUGGAAUGCGCAGAUAUCAGGAGGAACACCGGUGGCGAAGGCGGGUCUCUGGGCCGAUACUGACGCUGAGGAGCGAAAGCGUGGGGAGCGAACAGGAUUAGAUA
rnacentral:rRNA from 1 species